rnacentral:rRNA from 1 species
UGGGGAAUAUUGCACAAUGGGCGCAAGCCUGAUGCAGCAAUGCCGCGUGAAUGAUGAAGGUCUUCGGAUCGUAAAGUUCUGUUGCAGGGGACGAUAAUGACGGUACCCUGUGAGGAAGCCCCGGCUAACUACGUGCCAGCAGCCGCGGUAAUACGUAGGUGGCAAGCGUUGUCCGGAAUUAUUGGGCGUAAAGCGCGCGCAGGUGGUUUGGAAAGUCUGAUGUGAAAGCCCACGGCUCAACCGUGGAGGUUCAUUGGAAACUAAUAAACUUGAGUGCAGGAGAGAAAAGUGGAAUUCCUAGUGUAGCGGUGAAAUGCGUAGAGAUUAGGAGGAACACCGGUGGCGAAAGCGGCUUUUUGGCCUGAAACUGACACUGAGGCGCGAAAGCGUGGGGAGCAAACAGG